UGGGGAAUCUUGCACAAUGGGCGAAAGCCUGAUGCAGCAACGCCGCGUGCGGGAAGACAGCCCUAGGGUUGUAAACCGCUUUCAGCAGGGAAGAAACUGACGGUACCUGCAGAAGAAGGUGCGGCCAACUACGUGCCAGCAGCCGCGGUGACACGUAGGCACCAAGCGUUGUCCGGAUUUAUUGGGCGUAAAGAGCUCGUAGGCGGUUCAGUAAGUCGGGUGUGAAAACUCUGGGCUCAACCCAGAGAGGCCACCCGAUACUGCUGUGACUUGAGUACGGUAGGGGGAGCGGGGAAUUCCUGGUGUAGCGGUGAAAUGCGCAGAUAUCAGGAGGAACACCAGUGGCGAAGGCGCCGCUCUGGGCCGUAACUGACGCUGAGGAGCGAAAGCAUGGGUAGCAAACAGGAUUAGAUACCCUGGUAGUCCACGCCGUAAACGUUGGGCACUAGGUGUGGGUCUCAACCAA
rnacentral:rRNA from 1 species